AUGGAAAGUUCAGCAACUGGGGAGCAGCAGAGGGAAGGACCCCGUUUCAACAGCCCCUGCACUUUCUUUGAACAAGUCAUCAAGGCUUGCCUCGACUGUUUGGGACUUCAUGAUGAUCAUAAUCAACACCCUCCUCCUCUACAGACCGAAAGAGAAAUGAAAUUUAAUGUAAUAUACCAAUCUCUCUCUCUCUCUCUCUCUCUCUCUCUCUCUCUCGUUAAUAGUUUGUUUUGCAAUCCUUUCUUUUUGUAUGUAUGGGCCUGGCUGUAUGUAUUUAUGUAUGUAAUGCAGGAAGAGACAAUUAUGAUGAUGGCUACAAGAUCAAGGAAGGCGACUAAACCACCUAUAAGCUCUGGUCCAGGUGGUCAGAUUAACUAUUCUUCAUCUGUUUCUUCCUCCUAA
rnacentral:lncRNA from 1 species